rnacentral:rRNA from 1 species
UACGAAGGGGGCUAGCGUUGCUCGGAAUCACUGGGCGUAAAGGGCGCGUAGGCGGCCAUAUAAGUCAGGGGUGAAAGCCUGUGGCUCAACCACAGAAUUGCCUUUGAUACUGUAUGGCUCGAGACCGGAAGAGGUAAGUGGAACUGCGAGUGUAGAGGUGAAAUUCGUAGAUAUUCGCAAGAACACCAGUGGCGAAGGCGGCUUACUGGUCCGGUUCUGACGCUGAGGCGCGAAAGCGUGGGGAGCAAACAGG